rnacentral:lncRNA from 1 species
GCUGCAGCACAGGGAACAGGAGGUUCGAAAGAAGUGUGCCCUCUGUUCCUCUUCCUGACAUAGCAAUAUGAAUGCAGAAGCGUCGCAUGCUGCUAAAGUCAUGUUUUUAAAUUAAUACUAACCCCACUGUAAGUGUGUGGUGGGUGAAGUCCUGCUCCUUGCAUUCACACUUGACACGAGACUGAGAUCCAGGCUUUCAUUCAUACAUUCAAGGCCAAGUCAGCAAGCUUCUAGUGCCCACAUUGUGUUCAGGGGGUGUUCACACACCAGCAGCUCCCAGCUGAGUCCUGUGGACAUCUUUAUGCUGAUAUUCACUAAGAGAACAAAGUGGCAGAGAAAAAUCUGAGGUCUUGUCAAAGAAGAUCCUGGACUCGAUAAGAAAUUAGUGGAGGUGACACUGGCAGGGGCAGUGGGAGAUCUGAGUUAACUCCUUGUUCUGCUCCAGACAUUCAAAACAUCCUGGACAGGCCAUUUUAUGUCAGCUUCCUGUAUGAAACAGGAUCAUAAGAACAAUUUUAGGCCUGCCAUACUGCCAUCAUUCUAUAGCAUGGCAUAGUGCACUGACGACCGUGGUGAUGGGGGACACAUCAGUGGAAAUAUAUCACGGGAAUGUGAGAACAAUCAUCCUGCUGAACUACAGCCAGCAAAGUAUGCCUAUAAAACUCUCUGCUCUUCAGCAGAAUGACUGAAAAAAUGAAUAAUUUCAUUCAAAAAUGAUUAUACUUAUUUUCAACAAAUAAGUUGCAUGAGGGAAGGUGAGGAUUGUUCUUUUUUAUUUUUUAUUUUUUUUAAUUAUUAUUAAUUUCUUAACUAUAAAAACAGGGAAAGUACAUCUUGAAACCCAUAUUCGUCUACUCACCAUACUACAACAGUAAAUUUGAAUAGUUCUUCAAAGUGUUACUAUAAAAUUGUUUUUAAAAGUGACAAGUAAAUAAACAUAUUCUAUUUUCUCCUGAAGCCUACUAU